rnacentral:rRNA from 1 species
UACGUAGGGGGCAAGCGUUGUCCGGAUUUAUUGGGCGUAAAGAGCGUGUAGGCGGCCAUACAGGUCCGUUGUGAAAACUCGAGGCUCAACCUCGAGACGUCGAUGGAAACCGUAUGGCUAGAGUCCGGAAGAGGAGAGUGGAAUUCCUGGUGUAGCGGUGAAAUGCGCAGAUAUCAGGAAGAACACCCGUGGCGAAGGCGGCUCACUGGCCCGGUACUGACGCUGAGGUGCGAAAGCGUGGGGAGCAAACAGG